rnacentral:lncRNA from 1 species
CGAUCAAGUUAGUACAGAGAUAAAUGGCUCCACCUGUUACCCAGCCCUGCAAAAUUUAUCAAGAUUUGUCCCUUGUCUGUUCUAGUCCAUGGGUCAUAGUGGAGGAUAUGCAUCACCCUGGAGAUGGCAUCAGUUUCUGCUCUGGGGUCAGGAAGAGGCUCAUCAGCAGAAGGCACCUGAUACUAUUAAAGCCUUCAGUUGUCAUGGCUACCUUCCUUCUGCCUCACUCAUGGAAUUGCCUUGGGAGAUUUAAUGGAGAAGACACUGGAAAUCUUGCAUUGCUGCAACUUCUUUUUGACAGACUGUGAGAUCCUUGGGUUUCUGUAUCUUCCCUGAAAAGUAUUUUCAUCCUUAGGUUCCCAUCUGAAUCAGUCCAAAACAAGAAGCAAAGGGUGAGACUUGGCUGAAAGAAAAGCUGUGGAAAGAGAAGGGAAAUUUAGUAAAAGGCAGAGAAAAGUCGGUGGAAACAGAAAUACAUCACAAAAGAAGAGGCAAUGAUGAGAAUCAGGAUAUAACACAGGUUGCAAGAGAGAAAAUGGGGAGCAGGUUGAGAGGAGAGCGAGAGAUCAGAAAGAAGUGAAAACUAGAUCUACAUUUCCAUCUCUGCCAGGCUGUAGCACAUAAUCUAGGAAGAAUUAGAAUUUCAGUACUGUACAGCAAAGAUCUCCAAAGAUCUCUUCUCCAGUGCUGCAGGAAUUGUCUCCCAUUUGUCCCUAGAUCCCUCUCACCCACUGACAAUCACAUCUGAAAGACAGUGAGAUCACUGCACUUUUGCUUGUUAAGCUGAUAAAGAAGGAACCUGGUGCCCUGAAUGGCUUCAGUCUGAGCCCAUGAGCCACUCACCAGGGUUAAGCACAGAGGGCAGGAGAAUUGCUCCCAAGUGUGCUGUCCCCAAAGAUGGGCACACUGAAUGAUUUCAUGCACGUGGAAGAACUCUCUGCCUGGAAUUCCUGUACAGGAACCUGAGAAGGAAAGCAAAACAAGGGGCAUUUAAUGCAGAGCACCUAAUGUGUCAGACAUUUAUCACAUAGCCUAAUAUAAUACAUUCCUAUACCUUUAUCAAAAUGCUUGUGAUGCAUUUUAGGACUCAAUAAUGAGAAAAACACUAUGGGUGUUCCUACUCACUGAUAGGUUUUAACAGGUUAUGUGGGUUACAUUAGUGUAAUUCAGUAGUAAUGUGUUACAGAUUCAUCUCUUUGUAGCAUAGGAUUUGGAAUUCUUCAUUUGGAGGUCAUGUAGUUCUGCAGUAAACAUCUGUGGUUCUCAUUUUCAGUCACUAAAGCAGAUAUUAUUGCUGCCUUUAUUGUGGGUGCUGGCCAAAGCUUAGACUUCUACUUGCUUGGAAUAAACUUUGGGGUUCCUCUUUCUCCA